AGCGUAAACGGUAAUUCCGGAUUGUCGGGGUUCCCUCUGAAACGUUGGCCGUCACCCAUCAUCAUCAUUACGCACUGAGACAGUGCCAUUCCGCAACAUUUGCGGACCAAGGCAUCAAGGAAUGUACUUGUUGCGAACCAUACCGCGGCGUCAGUGUCCAAAAGCAGUCAAAUGCUGCGCAUGCACAACCUAUUGGUGUCUUCAGUCAAUGGAACCUGCCUAAUCCAUCACACGAAAAAAACUAGAUUGGAAGAUUAUCAAUUUACUCAGUUAGUUGUGCGGCGAGACCCGGAAACAUUGUUUUAUUAUUUUGUCACAUGGCUGAGAGAUUUCAAUAACAACAAAAAAUGGCGACAAUCACGUUGUUCGAUGUGGGUCUUGCUGCGUCAUUAAAACUAUUCACGUAAACACGGGAAUGAAACGCGCAAAAUGCAAAAAACAGCAACAAGCUUUCCCGACAACGUGGAGUUGAAUAUCUGGAACCAUUGAAAUGUGAUGAUUGCUUUCAAUAUUGUUCUUUCGCGUUUUAAACGUGUAUUUAAUGUAUAGGCUACCUGGUCUGCGCUUCACGAUUAUUGAAGGGUCCGAGAUACGCUAUCAUGAUAAUAUACUAAGUACAGUCUAUUGGGAGUUGUAUAUGCUAAUUACAUUUUACAGUUACGCAACCAAUGUUAUGUUUUGCUCGAUUGAACUGUUGUCUCAACCUUGCGCAGCAGGUUAUUUUUCAAGUAAGUGUUGGCAAGUGCUCCUGCAAUUCUGUGAUACCAAAACAGAACCAGCAAAUCGAGUUGUUUACAUGAAGCGGAGGGAGAAGGAGAUAGGGAGGAGCCUCCUCCGGUGGGCUACGCGACUGGACUGCUGGAGAGCCUUCGCGCACUGAGGGCGGAACCCCAAGAACCAUAACAAGUCCGACGUCAGCUAUGUGGUGUGCAUAAAUUAUGCAGUUCAAACACUACCGAGUAAACAGUGGUGACUUCGACCAAUUAGCAAGGUUUUAUUCCUUUAGUCUACAUGUAUCUGUUGUAUAGGAAAUUAUCUUUCAAAGGGGUUUAUGAAAAAGCUGAUAUGCUACAGUAGUUACACAUGUAUUGGUAGGUAUUACAUUCAUGUGAGGUGAGAAAGAAACAUCUUACUAAUGGUAGUAAAAUACCUUUCUAGAAUUCUGUAAUGCCUGUGUGGAAUUCAUAGCACAUACACAAUUCACAAUUAUAUCCUGUGAAUAAUUACAAAGCUUUGCAGAUUUUGGUAACCUAUUAGAGAAACCUCUUUACAUUACUUCUGCAUGCAAUGCAAUGUUCUCGUUCUGGUAAUGUGAUACCAUGAAAUACAUAAAUACAGACAUGAUAUUUGGAUUUGACGUAUUGUCAAACAUAGUCAUUUUGUUACUCCGAUGACAUGUGCAUGAAGUAAAUGCACUUUCUGCAAUGUCCAAAGGCACCCCCACCUGCCCGACCCUAUACAGUGUCAUGUCAUUCUAAGUCCCUCUUUUGGCACGAUUCCAUCUGCAAAAGAAUAGUGUGACUGGCAAGAUAUUAUUGUUGCUCUGGGCUCCAAGUCGUGUGUGUGUGCGUGCGUGCGUGUGUCAUCAUGUGUGAGCCUGGCAUCAUGAAGACGGAUGGCAUCUGACCCCUUGGAUCACCAUGGCUGAUGUUGUACUGUGCUGGAACUCAGACCAACUCUUGACCAACUGCUGUCUCUUAGCUUCCUAACAUGACAUCCAGGCUGCCCUGGUUCAGUUAUCACUGUGCUGAUGCUGUCCAUCUUAAAGGUACAGUACUGUGAUAACUGAAGGAUGGCUGCCACCUUGACACACCCGACCCACUUUGUGAUGAUGGAUGGAGAUGGUACUGCUGUAUCGAAGGUGAAGUUUUUCAUUGAUAUCACUGGUGCUCCCAACUUUAAAAAGUUAGAACAACAUAAAAUUUAGGAGCACCAGAAAAUAUGAUUUUUCAACUUGAUUGAGAUAUAGCCUAUAUUGGGCCUACAUGAAUUCUAGCUCCCGAAGCACAUGCUGUACUCUAUAAACUAAUAUGUAACCCUGUAAAGACAGUUGUUUAUUGUAAAAAGCUGUACAUGGUUAUACAAGUACCUGUUAUUGAAGUUACAAAGUUAUUUGUAGAAUAAUAGGUUUCUACAUUGUGUAAAAACACUAUUUUCAAACCAGCAUCCUGCUGUACAAUAUCACACGUACCCCUGCCAAUAAAGACUAUGGUGAGUCAA